UACGUAGGGUGCAAGCGUUGUCCGGAAUUAUUGGGCGUAAAGAGCUCGUAGGCGGUUUGUCGCGUCUGCUGUGGAAAAACGCGAGGCUCAACCUCGCGCCUGCAGUGGGUACGGGCAGACUGGAGUGCGGUAGGGGGAGAUUGGAAUUCCUGGUGUAGCGGUGGAAUGCGCAGAUAUCAGGAGGAACACCGAUGGCGAAGGCAGAUCUCUGGGCCGUAACUGACGCUGAGGAGCGAAAGCGUGGGGAGCGAACAGG
rnacentral:rRNA from 1 species